CUGACAGGCGUACACACAAACGCACGUGGGCGACCAUAUUUUUCGUCGCUAGGUGAUGUUCUUCCUCUUGCGCCCCCACCGCCCAACCUCAUCUUUGCCCUGUGUUUUCUCUUCGUUCCUCUGUGGCCUCUCCCCAUCAACGUGCUCUGAUCGACCGGGCGUGGAGUUGAACACAUCGACAUCGUUCGGGUCUCUCGGGUCCAUCCUUUUCGUUUUUGUUGCUCGUCCGAAACAACGCCACUUCGCGGUCUGCUCUGACAUACUCGUUGUGUGCGACGCUCUCUCGCUGCCAUACACGCUCUCGCGCACGAGCGGUUCUGCCACUGAGAGUCGAACUAGAUGCCUGCAUGAUUGACUGCAUCGUUCUCACAUCCUCCUGUCUUCGCGCGUCCUCACCAUGAGCAGCCUCUACCGAUGCAAUGCCUGCGGGCGGCUGACGACGAUGUCCCUGUGCCCUCGGUGCGAGGCGAGCACGGAGCGUUACACCCUGCCAUUGGAAGAGAUGCGCACCACGGCCGGCAGCGGUGCUGGCGCUUUUGAUGCGGCGCAUGCGAUCCCCACAGCUGUGCCCUUGACAGUUGCCGACAUCGACGCUCUUGCAAGGCGGGACGGCGCGGUUUCCAGUGGCGCGGUCAUUAGCCAACAGAGUACAGUGGCGUCGUCGCGCUCGGUGGCAGAGCUGGAGGCCGUGGUGCAGUCGCUGCAGCAAGAGAAUGCGGAGCUGCGCGAGAGGCUGGAACGCGAUCGACGCCAAAUGCUUCGGUCCGCCAUGGACGUGCGCGACUUGCAUGCAAGCCAAAAGCAGAUUAGGCAGAGGGACUUGGACCGGAUAGAGUGGUUGCACUGCGAUAAUCAGAGACUCAGGAAAAUGCUCGAGAUGCAAGGCAGCGCUCACGAGCUUGCCGAUGCGGUGCCACCACAACCACAAGCUGCGGCGCCGCCGACAGCGCCUCCUCCAUCAUCGGAGGGCCUUCGCUCUUUGCCAGAAAUGCCUGUCGAGCUCAACGCAAUGGAGGAGGACAUGCCGGCACUUGAGGCGGAGGUGGUGCGCCUGCGUGGCGCGCUGGCGCUCAAGACGCAGCAUCUGGACGACCUACAGGGGCAUGCAGAGCGCGCCGAGGGUUACGUGCAGGACCUACUGCGGAAGCUGGAACACGUGCAGGGCAUUGUGCGCGAGGAGAGGGACAACUGCGCACGCCGGUCCGAACACCUCGCAAGCGCUGAGCAGCCGCUGGAGGACAUCGUCUCCGUCGUGUCCCUUCGCGACUACUCGAGUGCGACGCAGCUGACCGGGCCCAACUCCACUACUCAGUCUCCCUUUGCCACUGUGGGGCGGCGUGAACAUAUCAAGCGGGCCGCGGCCGUUCACGGAGGCUGAGACGGCGUUGCCAUUGGGCUUGGGUGUGUGGUAAGGCACGAACUUUCCUCUUGUGCUACCCCAGGAGUUGACAGCGCUCCUCCUCGCUGUCUGUUUAGAAACGAGCGCCCCAGCCCCAUCGCUUGUUGAUCUCCGACUCCGUUGCUCGCGCAUUGAAAAAAAGGCUACUGCCUCGGCGCAAGAGAGGGGAGGGUAGCGAAGACAGCCGUUCAGCGCGAGUAUUCGAUGCGGCGGAAGGUGAGGUGCAUCCUGCUGUAAUGGGGGUGUGCGUGUUUUCCCUCCCUCCCUCCUUCCGUCUCUCUCGUUUUAUGGCCCAGCCCUCCUACGUUCGCGUUUUGUGCUGCUCUUGUGGGCUCGAAGAGCUUGGCUGCGUGGGUGGGUACGUGCGUGUCUUGGCUUCGUUGCGUUGUGUGUUCUUCUUUUCCUUACUAAUUCACUGUAUCCUGCUUUGCUUGCACGACACAUGCCAAGCAGAGUUGAUGCUCGUGUGAGUAUCCCCUGUGUGCCUGUGCGCUUGACGGCCGCUUUCCUUCCAGCUUUCGCUUCGGGACUGUUUCGUUCUUUUUAGCGGAUUUUGCGUGGAUGCCGACAGAAGGCCUGGCGAUGUGCGCAUGCGUGUUCAUGAUGGCACAUCCCUCCUCCUGCCCGCGUAUCUCUUUGCGUUCUCGUCCAUGGUUUUCUCCACCGUGCACCGUGUAGAGUCUUCUUGGCCGCCGCAAAGGACGUUUCCGUCCCUCAUUUUGUCGCGUAUGUGUGUGCGUGUCGCGGAUUUCAGUUUUCACUCCGGCUUUAUUAGUUUUUUUUUUUCUCUCACCGAGGCGUUCGCUUCCGUCGUCGUAGGGUGGCGGGAAACAAGAAGAGGCCAGGCUGUACUGCGGUUCUUGAGCGCCGUUGCACGCACGGAUGGAUGUAAGCGCACACAUCAUCAAAGAAAGCAGAAAAACAACAACAGAGGGCGGCCACUGCUGUUCGUGACCGUCUCCCUCCACCACUACCGCGCCAUACGAGAAAGAAAUGUGUACGGCGGCAUCUCUGAAAAGGUGAGGGGACGCCGCCGCUCGAGGGGGUAGAUGCACCAUCGAUCGCGCCAGGCUUGCGCCUCGUUCAAGCUGCCGCCCACGCGUAGAGACAAUGGUGGCUGGCUGAGGGGUGGACCGAGGGAACGACGAAAGGAGGAGCAACAGGAGGGCGAGGUAGGCUGCACGUACGCUUGCGUAUGGCUGCCGUCUCUUCCCAGUAAUUCCUUUUUGGCGGCGUUGGUGUCAUGCAUGAGGCACUGGCCCAAGGCAGCAACGCCUCUCUCCCCCUUCUUUCGCUCAUGUGACGGCAUGCUCUCUGCCCCCCUGCCCACGUUGCCAUCUUUGCCUUCGAUGCAUUUCUUUUUUGGUGCACUGCCGUCCUCGUGCGCCGCUGCCGCCACGACUCGAUUCACCGACGCUCUCGCAGCAGCCGAGGAAGAGCGCGAAAG
rnacentral:misc_RNA from 1 species